rnacentral:rRNA from 1 species
ACGGAAGGCAGCAGUGGGGAAUAUUGCACAAUGGGGGAAACCCUGAUGCAGCAACGCCGCGUGAGUGAAGAAGUAUUUCGGUAUGUAAAGCUCUAUCAGCAGGGAAGAUAAUGACGGUACCUGACUAAGAAGCACCGGCUAAAUACGUGCCAGCAGCCGCGGUAAUACGUAUGGUGUAAGCGUUAUCCGGAUUUACUGGGUGUAAAGGGUGCGUAGGUGGCAUGGUAAGUCAGAUGUGAAAUACCGGGGCUCAACCCCGGGGCUGCAUUUGAAACUGCCAGGCUGGAGUACAGGAGAGGCAAGCGGAAUUCCUAGUGUAGCGGUGAAAUGCGUAGAUAUUAGGAGGAACACCAGUGGCGAAGGCGGCUUUCUGGACUGUUACUGACACUGAGGCACGAAAGCGUGGGGAGCAAACAGGAUUAGAUACCCUGGUA